GGCCGAUGGUUAAGGUUAAUAAAAUAAAUAUUGAUUUUAGCUAUAAAAGCAUAAUUUAAUGAUGUUCUGUCAAUGCCAUUUCAUUCUCGUUUCAUUUUUUCAUUUUUCAUGACGUCAUUUAGCCAUUUUUAUGACGUUACAAUGAUGUCCUGUAUAUUUAAGUGCCAGUCUGCCUAAGAAUCAGGCAGUGGUGAAAACAUGAUAAAAAUACCCACCCUAUUUGACAUUGAUUUCAGUUCAUAAUAUGUAGUUAUGCACAAAAAUAACAUUCAUUUCCAUUUUCUGUUCUGGUAAUAGAAGAUACAAUUUGGUUGAAAUGCACUAGAAUAAACAAAAAAAGGGGAGAUAACUCUGUAAUUUGCUAUCAUUCUAACCAAUUUUCUAACCAAGUUAUUUGAUAUUACCAGACGCACACAAACAAAAGACCAAUUAUUUUUAACUCAGGAUGAUGGUUAGUAUUAAAUAGCAUGAUUAGCUCGGUGGGUUUUUUCUAAUCAUGUUUUAAUUUUUACUUAAAUUGCCUAAUU
rnacentral:lncRNA from 1 species